rnacentral:rRNA from 1 species
CGCAGGCGGCAUCGCAAGUCGGUCUUAAAAAGUGCGGGGCUUAACCCCCGUGAGGGGACCGAAACUGUGAAGCUCGAGUGUCGGAGAGGAAAGCGGAGUUCCUAGUGUAGCGGUGAAAUGCGUAGAUAUUAGGAGGAACACCAGUGGCGAAAGCGGCUUUCUGGACGACAACUGACGCUGAGGCGCGAAAGCCAGGGGAGCAAACG